ACUCAACUGACGAGCCCCAAAACAGGAUGAAACGCGUGUCCUGAGU
rnacentral:hammerhead_ribozyme from 1 species